rnacentral:misc_RNA from 1 species
GAUGAAGAACGCAGCGAAAUGCGAUACUUGGUGUGAAUUGCAGAAUCCCGUGAACCAUCGAGUCUUUGAACGCAAGUUGCGCCUCAAGCCAUUAGGUUGAGGGCACGUCUGCCUGGGCGUCACAUAUCGUUGCCUGAUGCCAGUUUCCUCAUGAUGGGUGACUGUGCAGGGCGAAUGAUGGCUUCCCGUGAGCAUUGUUGCCUCAUGGUUGGUUGAAAAUUGAGUCCUUGGUAGGGAGCGCCGUGAUAGAUGGUGGUUGAGUGACGAACGAGACCCAAUCAUGUGAGACCCCUACCGAAUUUGGCCUUCAUGACCCACAUGCGUCUUUGGAACGCUCAUGACGAGACCUCAGGUCAGGCGGGGCUACCCGCUGAGUUUAAGCAUAUCAAUAAGCGGAGGA